rnacentral:piRNA from 1 species
UAUGGAUAGUACCUCUGUUUCCAACC